AACGAACGCUGGCGGCAUGCCUAACACAUGCAAGUCGAACGAGACCUUCGGGUCUAGUGGCGCACGGGUGCGUAACGCGUGGGAACCUGCCCUUAGGUUCGGAAUAACUCCCCGAAAGGGGUGCUAAUACCGGAUAAUGUCUUCGGACCAAAGAUUUAUCGCCUUUGGAUGGGCCCGCGUUGGAUUAGCUAGUUGGUAGGGUAAAAGCCUACCAAGGCGACGAUCCAUAGCUGGUCUGAGAGGAUGAUCAGCCACACUGGGACUGAGACACGGCCCAGACUCCUACGGGAGGCAGCAGGGGGGAAUAUUGGACAAGGGGCGAAAGCCUGAUCCAGCAAUGCCGCGUGAGUGAUGAAGGCCUUAGGGUUGUAAAGCUCUUUUACCCGGGAUGAUAAUGACAGUACCGGGAGAAUAAGCUCCGGCUAACUCCGU
rnacentral:rRNA from 1 species